rnacentral:rRNA from 1 species
UACAGAGGUGGCAAGCGUUGUUCGGAAUUACUGGGCGUAAAGGGCGCGUAGGUGGCCUUUUGAGUCAGACGUGAAAUCCCCCGGCUUAACCUGGGAACUGCGUCUGAUACUGGAAGGCUUGAGUUCGGGAGAGGGAUGUGGAAUUCCAGGUGUAGCGGUGAAAUGCGCAGAUAUCAGGAGGAACACCGAUGGCGAAGGCAGGUCUCUGGGCAUUAACUGACGCUGAGGAGCGAAAGCAUGGGGAGCGAACAGG